rnacentral:rRNA from 1 species
AACGAACGCUGGCGGCAGGCCUAACACAUGCAAGUCGAACGGAGCCUUCGGGAUUAGUGGCGGCCGGGUGAGUAACCCGUGGGAACGUGCACUUUGGUUCGGAAUAACUCAGGGAGAGGGGUGCUAAUACCGGAUGAUGUCUUCGGGGGAAAGAUUUAUCGCAUUUGGUGAGGACCGCGUCGGAUUAGCUAGUUGGUGAGGAAAAGGCACACCAAGGCGACGAUACGUAGCUGGUCUGAGAGGAUGAUCCGCCACCCUGGGACUGGGACACGGCCCAGACUCCUACGGGAGGCAGCAAUGGGGAAUGUGGAGCAAUGGGCGAAAGCCUGACGCAGCCAUGCCGCGUGAAUGAUGAAGGUCUUAGGAUUGUAAAAUUCUUUCAACAGGUACGAUAAUGACGGUACCCGAAGAAGAAGCUCCGGCUAACUUCGUG